AACGCGAAGAACCUUACCAAGGCUUGACAUAUAGCGAAAAGUGGCAGAGAUGUCAUGUCCGCAAGGGCGCUAUACAGGUGGUGCAUGGUUGUCGUCAGCUCGUGUCGUGAGAUGUUGGGUUAAGUCCCGCAACGAGCGCAACCCUCGUUCUGUGUUACCAGCAUUCAGUUGGGGACUCACAGGAGACUGCCGGGGUCAACUCGGAGGAAGGUGGGGAUGACGUCAAAUCAUCAUGCCCCUUAUGUCUUGGGCUGCACGCAUGCUACAAUGGCCGGUACAAAGUGCUGCGAGAUCGUAAGAUUGAGCGAAUCACAUAAAGCCGGUCUCAGUUCGGAUUGAGGUCUGCAACUCGACCUCAUGAAGUCGGAGUUGCUAGUAAUCGUAGAUCAGCAACGCUACGGUGAAUACGUUCCCGGGUCUUGUACACACCG
rnacentral:rRNA from 1 species